rnacentral:rRNA from 1 species
GACGAACGCUGGCGGCGCGCCUAACACAUGCAAGUCGAACGGUGAACGGGGCUUCGGCCCCGGGAUCAGUGGCGAACGGGUGCGUAACACGUGGGCAACCUGCCCCAGACUCUGGGACAACCCCGGGAAACCGGGGCUAAUACCGGAUACGACCUCCUGCGGCAUCACGGGAGGUGGAAAGUUCUUCGGCUAGGGAUGGGCCCGCGGCCUAUCAGCUUGUUGGGUGGGUAACGGCCCACCAAGGCGACGACGGGUAGCCGGCCUGAGAGGGCGACCGGCCACACUGGGACUGAGACACGGCCCAGACUCCUACGGGAGGCAGCAGUGGGGAAUAUUGGACAAUGGGGGAAACCCUGAUCCAGCCAUGCCGCGUGAGUGAUGAAGGCCUUCGGGUUGUAAAGCUCUUUUGUCAGGGAAGAUGAUGACUGUACCUGAAGAAUAAGCCCCGGCUAACUUCGUGCCAGCCGCCGCCGUAAGAC